rnacentral:rRNA from 1 species
UACAGAGGGUGCAAGCGUUAAUCGGAAUUACUGGGCGUAAAGCGUGCGUAGACGGUUACAUAAGUCGGGUGUGAAAGCCCACGGCUCAACCGUGGAGGGUCAUUGGAAACUGGGGAACUUGAGUGCAGAAGAGGAAAGUGGAAUUCCAAGUGUAACGGUGAAAUGCGUAGAUAUCGGAAGGAACAUCAGUGGCGAAAGCGGCUUCCUGGACCAGCACCGACGUUCAGGCACGAAAGCGUGGGGAGCAAACAGG